AAUGGCCUAACGGCUGAACCAGCAAUUUGGCUGAACGGAAAAGCAUUUUGUUUUUUGAACAAAAUGUAGUUUUUUCUGACUAUUUUAGUCAGCUAUCUUGAAUAGAGCCUAUUGUUCUAUGGGUAGUAAAGUUAACACUUUUUUUGGAGUUUCGGCUCUUUUAGCGAUUUAUUCGCAUAAAGUUCUAUAUAGGAUACGGAUAAUGACCACUUUCUAUAUAAAAGUCUUGACUAAAACACGUGCCAGCAGUCGCGGUAACACGGUACAGACUAGUGUUAUUCAUCUUUAAUAGGUUUAAAGGGUACCUAGACGGCAGGAAAGGCCCCCAUAUUUGGAAAGGUACCUUUUUGCUAGAGUUUUAUGUGAGAGGGUUUUAGUACUAUCAGAGUAGAGAUGAAAUUCUUUGAUACUGUAGGGCACUGAUAACGGCGAAGGCAGACCUUUAUGUAAAAACUGACGUUGAGGGACGAAGGCUUGGGUAACAAACAGGAUUAGGUACCCUAAUAGUCCAGGCAGAGAAUGAUGAGUGUCAUAGAUUAGGAGUGUCUUUGGUCUAUAAAUGAAAGUGUAAACACUCCACCUUAAGAGUAAUGUGGCAACGCAGGAACUGAAAUCAUUAGACCGUUUUACUGAUACCAGUAGUGAAGUAUGUUGUUCAAUUCGAUGAUCCACGAAAAAUCUUACCACAAUUUGAAUAUUUUAGCACGGCAGAAGUGCUAUUAAUACAGGUGUUGCAUGGCUGUCUUCAGUUGAUGUCGUGAGGCGCAGGUUAGAUCCAUAAAUCAACGUGUAACCCUUACUUUAUUUUGUACAAAUAGAGUAGAAAUUCCGAGAUAUUGGAAGAUAAAAGGGACCAAGACAAGUCCUCAUGGCCCUAACAUUGU
rnacentral:rRNA from 1 species